AUUGAACGCUGGCGGCAGGCCUAACACAUGCAAGUCGAGCGGCGGCGGGAAAGUAGCUUGCUACUUUUGCCGGCGAGCGGCGGACGGGUGAGUAAUGCCUGGGGAUCUGCCCAGUCGAGGGGGAUAACUACUGGAAACGGUAGCUAAUACCGCAUACGCCCUACGGGGGAAAGCAGGGGACCUUCGGGCCCUGCGCGAUUGGAUGAACCCAGGUGGGAUUAGCUAGUUGGUGAGGUAAUGGCUCACCAAGGCGAUGAUCCCUAGCUGGUCUGAGAGGCGGAUCAGCCACACUGGAACUGAGACACGGUCCAGACUCCUACGGGAGGCAGCAGUGGGGAAUAUUGCACAAUGGGGGAAACCCUGAUGCAGCCAUGCCGCGUGUGUGAAGAAGGCCUUCGGGUUGUAAAGCACUUUCAGCGAGGAGGAAAGGUUGGUAGCUAAUAGCUGCCAGCUGUGACGUUACUCGCAGAAGAAGCACCGGCUAACUCCGUGCCAGCCGCCGCCGUAA
rnacentral:rRNA from 1 species